rnacentral:misc_RNA from 1 species
GGUGUCUCUUAAUGAAGAGUAGAUUUUCACAAGUAUUUAUUGGGGACCAUGGAUAAAGCAGCAGAUGAAAGAACCACCAAACUUCCGUCAGUUCAGCUUCUCAAAAAGCUUUUGUGCAACAGAUUUAUCAAUGCAUGACCAGUAAUCAAAGUAUUGACCAGUGCAAUGCUUGUGUCCACUUUCAUCAUCUUGUAUCCGCUUAGCACAUUCCCUAUACGCAUAUAAUGGCUUUACACACUUAGGCUGGAAACGAUCCUCAAGAUACUUCUUCGGGUCAACAACUUCCUCAUCAGCCAUUGCGAU